GGACCCGACCGCUAUCGGGGUGAGGCUAAGCCAUGGGAGUCGUACGCCUCAGUUACUGAGGCGUGGCGGACGGCUGAGUAACACGUGGCUAACCUACCCUCAGGACGGAGACAGUCUCGGGAAACUGAGGCUAAUCUCCGAUAGGUGAGGAUGCCUGGAAGGGUUCCUCACCGAAAGGGCUUCACAUGGAUGUAUGUGAAGCCGCCUGAGGAUGGGGCCACGUCCUAUCAGGUAGUUGGCGGGGUAACGGCCCGCCAAGCCGAUAACGGGUAGGGGCCGUGAGAGCGGGAGCCCCCAGAUGGGCCCUGAGACAANNNCCCANNNCCUACNNNNCGCACCANGCGCGAAACCUCCGCAAUNCGGGAAACCGUGACGGGGUCACCCCGAGUGCCCCGAAGAGGGGCUUUUCCCUGCUGUAAACAGGCAGGGGAAUAAGCAGGGGGCAAGUCUGGUGUCAGCCGCCGCGGUAAUACCAGCCCUGCGAGUGGUCGGGACGGUUAUUGGGCCUAAAGCGCCCGUAGCCGGCCUGGUAAGUCCUUCCUUAAAACCCGAGGCUCAACCUCGGGCCGGGGAGGAUACUAUCAGGCUAGGGGGUGGGAGAGGCCGAGGGUACUCCUGGGGUAGGGGNNAAAUCCGAUAAUCCCAGGAGGACCACCAGUGGCGAAAGCGCUCGGCUGGAACACCCCCNACNNUGANNGGCGAAAGCCGGGGGAGCGAACCGGAUUAGAUACCCGGGUAGUCCCGGCCGUAAACGAUGCGGGCUAGCUGUUGGACGGGCUUAGAGCCCGUCCAGUGGCGCAGGGAAGCCGUUAAGCCCGCCGCCUGGGGAGUACGGCCGCAAGGCUGAAACUUAAAGGAAUUGGCGGGGGAGCACCACAAGGGGUGNNNNNUGCGGCUCAAUUGGAGUCAACGCCAGGAAUCUUACCGGGGGCGACAGCAGGAUGAAGGCCAGGCUGACGACCUUGCCAGACACGCUGAGAGGAGGUGCACGGCCGUCGCCAGCUCGUGUUGUGAAAUGUCUGGUUAAGUCCAGCAACGAGCGAGACCCCUACCCCUAAUUACUACUCAGCCCGCAAGNNNNNNNNGUACAUUAGGGGGACCGCCGCCGUUAAAGGCGGAGGAAGGAGGGGGCCACGGCAGGUCAGCGUGCCCCGAAACCCCCGGGCUGCACGCGGGCUACAAUGGCAGGGACAGCGGGAUCCGACCCCGAAAGGGGAAGGUAAUCCCUCAAACCCUGCCGUAGUUGGGAUCGAGGACUGUAACUCGUCCUCGUGAACGAGGAAUCCCUAGUAACCGCGCGUCAACAUCGCGCGGUGAAUACGUCCCUGCUCC
rnacentral:rRNA from 1 species